rnacentral:tRNA from 1 species
UAUAGCUCAAUGGUAUAGCGCCUGCUUGGCAAGCACAAGGUCCUGAGUUUGAUUCUUGGUA